GACCCGAAGGACCCACGCGCGGCCGCCAUCUUCGAGUCUCCUCUCAGGCUCUCCGACCGGCUUUUCGCGCCAACGCCCUGGCUCCCCGCGGCCUCGCCACCGGGCAGGAUGAAUGUGAUAGACCACGUGCGGGACAUGGCGGCCGCGGGGCUGCACUCCAACGUGCGGCUCCUCAGCAGCCUGUUGCUCACCAUGAGCACUAACAACCCUGAGUUAUUCUCCCCAUCUCAGAAGUACCAGCUUUUGGUGUAUCAUGCAGAUUCGCUCUUUCAUGAUAAGGAAUAUCGUAAUGCUGUAAGCAAGUAUACCAUGGCUUUACAGCAGAAGAAAGCCUUAAGUAAAACUUCAAAAGUGCGACCUUCAACUGGCAAUUCUACAUCCACUCCACAGAGUCAGUGUCUUCCAUCUGAAAUUGAAGUGAAAUACAAAAUGGCUGAAUGUUACACAAUGCUAAAACAAGAUAAAGAUGCCAUUGCUAUCCUUGAUGGGAUCCCUUCAAGACAAAGAACUCCCAAAAUAAACAUGAUGCUGGCAAACUUGUAUAAGAAGGCUGGUCAGGAGCGCCCUUCAGUCACCAGCUAUAAGGAAGUGCUGAGACAGUGCCCAUUAGCCCUCGAUGCCAUUCUAGGUUUGCUGUCCCUAUCUGUAAAAGGUGCAGAGGUGGCAUCAAUGACAAUGAAUGUCAUCCAGACCGUGCCUAACUUGGACUGGCUCUCUGUGUGGAUCAAAGCAUAUGCUUUUGUGCAUACUGGUGACAACUCAAGAGCAAUCAAUACCAUCUGUUCACUAGAGAAAAAGUCGUUGUUACGAGAUAAUGUGGAUCUACUGGGAAGCUUAGCUGAUCUAUACUUCAGAGCUGGAGACAAUAAGAACUCUGUCCUCAAAUUUGAACAAGCACAGAUGUUGGAUCCUUAUCUAAUAAAAGGAAUGGAUGUGUAUGGCUACCUCCUGGCGCGAGAAGGGCGGCUGGAGGAUGUGGAGAAUCUUGGCUGCCGACUCUUCAAUAUUUCUGAUCAGCAUGCGGAACCCUGGGUGGUCUCGGGGUGUCAUAGCUUCUAUAGCAAACGCUACUCCCGGGCCCUCUAUUUAGGAGCAAAGGCCAUUCAGCUGAACAGUAAUAGUGUUCAAGCUUUGCUGCUGAAGGGAGCAGCACUCAGGAACAUGGGCCGAGUCCAAGAAGCAAUAAUUCACUUUCGGGAGGCCAUACGGCUUGCACCUUGUCGCUUAGACUGUUACGAAGGUCUCAUUGAAUGUUACUUAGCCUCAAACAGUAUUCGUGAAGCAAUGGUGAUGGCUAACAACGUUUACAAAACUCUAGGAGCGAAUGCACAAACCCUUACCCUUCUAGCUACUGUUUGUCUCGAAGACCCAGUGACACAGGAAAAAGCCAAAACUUUGUUAGAUAAAGCCCUGAACCAAAGGCCGGAUUACAUUAAGGCUGUGGUGAAAAAAGCAGAACUGCUUAGCAGAGAGCAGAAAUACGAAGAUGGAAUUGCUUUGCUGAGGAACGCACUAGCUAACCAGAGUGACUGCGUCCUGCAUCGGAUCCUAGGAGAUUUCCUUGUAGCUGUCAAUGAGUAUCAGGAAGCAAUGGACCAGUAUAGUAUAGCACUAAGGAUCCCAUCCAGUCUAGUGUUACAUCCAGUCACUGCGUGUCCUUAGGCUCUGCUUGGCUGCAUUUUCUCUUGUCUGAUGGCCACAGUUCUCCAGAACAGUGCUAGCAGAGGCAAUGGUGGAUGAACAAGCUGCUGGAGUGGUGCCCCAGGAAUGGGAUGGAUGUGUGAGAUUGUCAUCUUCUGGGCAAAGCUGUAUCUGAAACGCCAGGUGAGCAUGGAGUGGCAAAAAGCAGAACACUAAUGGGAUGGGCCGCAGGCCACAGGGAAAGUGUUUCAGGCAGGAACUGCCUGGCAACACCACCUGCAUGGUGGGUCUAAGGAGGAUGCUGCCCCAUCCAAUUACUGAUGGCGGCAAAAACAGUGUCUUCCUGUUCGGUGAAGAGGGGACUGGGUGGCUGCCACUCACUGCAAGAUUGAGACCUGAAGCCAUGGAUGUGCCCACAGCAACACAAUUGCUGAGGAGGCCCGAUUUGGAGCAAACACAGGGACUCGGCUGUCUGGGUUGAAGGAAGUGGGUGCCCAAACUACCUUUGUGGGCGGGAAGGGCCUGAAGCUCAGAAACCACCAGGACCCACCAGCUCAGGGCCAUCUGGGGCUGUGCGUGUCUCCUACAGCAGCCCACAGCACUCGGCUCACUUUGUAAAGGCCACUAAAUCAAGGAACUGAGUCAGUGAAAGUUGACUGGUUAGUUUGGUUUCCAUUGAAUAACACACCACCCAAUAAGCUCAGACAUCCUGUUUUGGUUUGUAGCCAAGACACACUCCUGGCAUUUGAUCCCACUUGGCCCCUUUCUUUUUAUCACUCAUGAUGCUAAAAUGGGUAAAACUACCCCCCUACAUUAUUUGCCAAGCAAACCAACCUCCCUUCUCGGCAUUCAGUCAGUCUCCACAUCCACCUCCUCACACACAGACCUCUGGAUUUGGCAGCAGCACCCCCUUGUCCUGCCUGAUACUUAACUUUUCCCCGAAACGGCCAGCACUACAUCUUCUGGUCUAGCAACCAGGGCCCAAACACCUUCACAAGAACACUCAGGGCCUCACAGGGAGGAAGCUGCCAAUCCACUGAACACAAGGUGCUUCCUAGGCCUCCUUCACCUGCUAACAAGGCUGGUGGGCUGCUGGCCAAGCAGAGCCCUACCCUACUAACGCCUAAAUGUACCCUGCAGAGAGAAGACAAGUCUCAGCUGCAAAGGAUGGGACCCAGAAGAGGAGGAAAAGUGGUCUAUUUAAGAGGAACCUACGGAUACGUGAGUUCACCGAUUCAGUUACUUGCUUUUACUAGCUUUUGCUUUUUAAUGAACCAAGGUUCUGGGAUGAGUCCUUGCAGCUAACAAAGAUCAAAAGAAUCACAAUUUUUUGUGAACCUUAGCACUAGCAAAGGCACAGCUCCCUCACAAAGGCUCAGUCUCACAAAAUCAGAAUGGGUUUCUAUUCCUCCAGACCCUCCCCAAUGAACAUCUGGCUAUGCCACUUUCCGAGACAGCUGGCACAGGUAACACAUAUAUGCCCCCUGCUCUCAGGGACAGCCACAGAGCACAGCAAUGCCUGACACAUGGGGCUUGUUCACUAGUGUCACACAGCUAGCUCAAUUGGUAGCAGUCACCCUCAGGUUAAAGCAUCUACAUUUCAGGGAAUACUCACAUUAGUUGAUGGAUGUUGGAAGGCAUUGGAGGAAAACACCACAGUUAGGACUGUUAAUGACUUAUACACUGUUGGUAAGACUGAUCUGGAACAUGCAUCAUAGUAUGGUGGUGGUGGUUAGUGCCACAUUCAAAUAAAAAUAGUUCUAUACAAUAUGUUCAUUUGGUCAUGUGCUAUUUACAGAUUUUACAAAACACAUACACGCACAUAUACAUACACACAUUUGCUUUUAUGUUCUCUACAUCAGGCCAGCAGAAACUUGCAUAAAAUGUGUCACAGAAGACAGUGCCUAUACAUUAAAAAAUAAAAUUCUUACAACUACCUCUGCAGCAGAACAGGAUCCUUCUUCCCUGGGAGUACAGUAAAACUAAAGGUCUGAGCUAAGAACUUAAGAGAAAGUUGAUAGUUCAAGCUAGGCCACUUAGGAGUUAAAAACAAGGCAGAUAUUUUUCUGUCCACUUAAAAUGUUUUAUUUUUUAAACUAGAUUGUGAAGUGCCACUGAAAUAGGCAAUGUUGGCAAAACAAUGUCUGUUACAAUAAAAUACACUAGACAUUUAAAUAAAUAACCUUAAAAACUAUCUGAGGGGACAUGAACCCAAUCGAAUCUGGAACAAUGUUUUCUGCACAAGCGAGAACAGGCAUACCUCUUAUUAAGACUGAUGUAAACAGAACCAUCGAAAUCCUACGGAGAAGCAGCCGAGCAGUGUGGGGACCAGGGCCAAGAGUGGGGAGGGGUGGAGGUGAACCAAGAGGGGUGAGGGAGUGGCAAACCAAAAAAUACUGACUGAGGUAGCAGUACUCUGCCCAGUGCAGAAAAAUUGGCUUAUGAAUAAAAAUUAGACUGUGAUCUUAGAUUAAAUCCAGAUGAUCAUGCAAAAGACACAAUACAUGCUAUAUCAUUUUAGAAAAAAACCACACACAUUCAUUUCCUAAAAUCUGCUGCCAAUUAAUUUGCUGACAAUGUCUGCUGGCUCAACAUUUUUUUUUUAUACAAGGAUGAGUAUUAAA